rnacentral:rRNA from 1 species
CGCACGGGUGAGUAACACGUGAGUGACCUGCCUUUUAGACUGGAACAACUUACCGAAAGGUGAGCUAAUGCCGGAUGAGUUAUAUAAGUGCAUGUUUAUAUAGGAAAAGUUGGGGAGACCUGACGCUGAAAGAUGGACUCGCGUCCCAUUAGCUAGUUGGUAGGGUAAUGGCCUACCAAGGCGACGAUGGGUAGCCGGCCUGGGAGGGUGGCCGGCCACACUGGGACUGAGACACGGCCCAGACUCCUACGGAAGGCAGCAG